UGUGAAAAUGGUUCGCUAUUCACUUGACCCAGAGAACCCCACAAAAUCAUGCAAAUCAAGAGGUUCCAAUCUUCGUGUUCACUUUAAGAACAUUCAUGAAACUGCCCAGGCCAUCACGGGUAUGUAUAUAUGAAAAGCCACGGAGUAUCAUUCCGACGUUACAAUGGUGGGGUUGGCAGGUGCGCCCAGGCCAAGCAGUGGGGCUGGACACAAGGUCAGUGGCCCAAAAAGAGUGCUCAAUUUUUGCUGCACAUGCUUAAAAAUGCAGGGAGUAAUGCUGAACUUAAGGGUUUCCAUGUAGAUUCUCUGGUCAUUGAAGAUAUCCAAGUGAACAAAGCACCUAAGAUGCGCUACCGGACCUACAGAGCUCGUGGUCAGAUUAACCCACACAUUAGCUCUCCCUGCCACAUCGAGAUAGUCCUUACUGAAAAGGAACAGAUUGUUCCUAAACCAGAAGAGGAGGUUGCCCAGAAGAAAAAGAUAUCCCAGAAGAAACUGAAGAAACAAAAACUUAUGGCACAGGAGUAAAUUCAGCAUUAAAAUAAAUGCAAUUAAAAG